rnacentral:rRNA from 1 species
UACAGAGGGGGCGAGCGUUGUUCGGAAUUACUGGGCGUAAAGGGCGCGUAGGUGGCCUGCUAUGUCGAACGUGAAAUCCCUGGGCUCAACCCAGGAACUGCGUCCGAAACUGGCAGGCUUGAAUCCGGGAGAGGGAUGUGGAAUUCCAGGUGUAGCGGUGAAAUGCGUAGAUAUCUGGAGGAACACCGGUGGCGAAGGCGGCAUCCUGGACCGGUAUUGACGCUGAGGAGCGAAAGCGUGGGUAGCAAACAGG